AGAGUUUGAUCCUGGCUCAGGAUGAACGCUGGCGGCGUGCCUAAUACAUGCAAGUCGAGCGAACGGACGAGAAGCUUGCUUCUCUGAUGUUAGCGGCGGACGGGGGAGGAACACGUGGAUAACCUACCUAUAAGACUGGGAUAACUUCGGGAAACCGGAGCUAAUACCGGAUAAUAUUUUGAACCGCAUGGUUCAAAAGUGAAAGACGGUCUUGCUGUCACUUAUAGAUGGAUCCGCGCUGCAUUAGCUAGUUGGUAAGGUAACGGCUUACCAAGGCAACGAUGCAUAGCCGACCUGAGAGGGUGAUCGGCCACACUGGAACUGAGACACGGUCCAGACUCCUACGGGAGGCAGCAGUAGGGAAUCUUCCGCAAUGGGCGAAAGCCUGACGGAGCAACGCCGCGUGAGUGAUGAAGGUCUUCGGAUCGUAAAACUCUGUUAUUAGGGAAGAACAUAUGUGUAAGUAACUGUGCACAUCUUGACGGUACCUAAUCAGAAAGCCACGGCUAACUACGUGCCAGCAGCCGCGGUAAUACGUAGGUGGCAAGCGUUAUCCGGAAUUAUUGGGCGUAAAGCGCGCGUAGGCGGUUUUUUAAGUCUGAUGUGAAAGCCCACGGCUCAACCGUGGAGGGUCAUUGGAAACUGGAAAACUUGAGUGCAGAAGAGGAAAGUGGAAUUCCAUGUGUAGCGGUGAAAUGCGCAGAGAUAUGGAGGAACACCAGUGGCGAAGGCGACUUUCUGGUCUGUAACUGACGCUGAUGUGCGAAAGCGUGGGGAUCAAACAGGAUUAGAUACCCUGGUAGUCCACGCCGUAAACGAUGAGUGCUAAGUGUUAGGGGGUUUCCGCCCCUUAGUGCUGCAGCUAACGCAUUAAGCACUCCGCCUGGGGAGUACGACCGCAAGGUUGAAACUCAAAGGAAUUGACGGGGACCCGCACAAGCGGUGGAGCAUGUGGUUUAAUUCGAAGCAACGCGAAGAACCUUACCAAAUCUUGACAUCCUUUGACAACUCUAGAGAUAGAGCCUUCCUCUUCGGGGGACAAAGUGACAGGUGGUGCAUGGUUGUCGUCAGCUCGUGUCGUGAGAUGUUGGGUUAAGUCCCGCAACGAGCGCAACCCUUAAGCUUAGUUGCCAUCAUUAAGUUGGGCACUCUAAGUUGACUGCCGGUGACAAACCGGAGGAAGGUGGGGAUGACGUCAAAUCAUCAUGCCCCUUAUGAUUUGGGCUACACACGUGCUACAAUGGACAAUACAAAGGGCAGCGAAACCGCGAGGUCAAGCAAAUCCCAUAAAGUUGUUCUCAGUUCGGAUUGUAGUCUGCAACUCGACUACAUGAAGCUGGAAUCGCUAGUAAUCGUAGAUCAGCAUGCUACGGUGAAUACGUUCCCGGGUCUUGUACACACCGCCCGUCACACCACGAGAGUUUGUAACACCCGAAGCCGGUGGAGUAACCUUUUAGGAGCUAGCCGUCGAAGGUGGGACAAAUGAUUGGGGUGAAGUCGUAACAAGGUAGCCGUAUCGGAAGGUGCGGCUGGAUCACCU
rnacentral:rRNA from 1 species